AGGUUUGAUCGUACCAGCACUAAUGCACUGGAUCCCAUCAGAAUUCUGUAGUUAAUCGUGCUAUGGCGAGAGUAGUACUAGGAUAGGUGACCUACUGGGAAGUCCUCGCCUUGCACCUU
rnacentral:rRNA from 2 species